AAGUACGAACGAUGCUGGGUACCAGUCCAAGCAUUAUUACCUUAGCAUCCUGAAAUUAGGUAACAUCCAUAGGCAUGUCAAUAGCAAUUGCAGAUCCCUUCGGCAGUUCCAGGGCAUCAAUUGCAUUGGCCACGAGGCUGCUCUAGACAUAGGGAGAGAAAUUGGUUACAGGAUCAGAUUAUGAUGAAUCAAAAGCUUGGCUAUGAUCAAAACUGGCAAAACUUCUUAGAGCAGUAUACGGUUACCAAACUUUCUUCCUCAAUUCCUCCAGCGACAGCACGAAAACGCCAGCGCAUUUACAUCUCCGGGCUCCGGCGACCGAAGCGGUGACAGUACCCAGCGGCGCUGGUGCCGUUUGUCGAGCACUGCACUGCACAUUCAUGCUUGGUUUUUUAUCGGCGACUCGUUGAUAUAGACAUUAACGGGCGCUCUUCGGAUAGGUUCUUCUUAUCCGAACUAGGCAGAUCGAGAUUGCAUACACAGUAAAAGUGACGGAUUAUGAUGCACAUACCAUAGGAGGAUCCAACCGGAAAUGGCGGAGGAAGAGCCGACCAGAGAAGCUAGGAGC
rnacentral:lncRNA from 1 species